CCCGACUGCUAUUUGGGUGAGGAUAAGCCAUGCGAGUUGAAUGGGAAACCUAAAAAUCCCAUGGCAAACUGCUCAGUAACACAUGAUCAACUUACCCUAUAGAGGAAAAUAACCUCGGGAAACUGAAGAUAAUGUUCCAUAGUUGAAUCGGCUUGGAGAAGUUUUUCAAUUAAAGGGAUAAGGAAAAUGGUUCUUAUCUGCUAUAGGAUAGGAUCGUGCUCGAUUAUGGUUGUUGGUGAGGUAAAGGCUCACCAAGCCGAUAAUCGAUAGGGGCCGUGAGAGCGGGAGCCCCGAGAUGGGUACUGAGACAACGACCCAGGCCUUACGAGGCGCAGCAGGCGCGAAACCUCCGCAAUACACGAAAGUGUGACGGGGUUACCCAAAGUGUUCUAUUUAGAACUGUGGUAGGUGAGUAAUGUUCCCUACUAGAAAGGAGAGGGCAAGGCUGGUGCCAGCCGCCGCGGUAAACCAGCUCUUCAAGUGGUCGGGAUAAUAUUGGGCUUAAAGUGUCCGUAGCCGGUUUAGUAAGUUCCUGGUAAAAUCGGGUAGCUUAACUAUCUAUAUGCUAGGAAUACUGCUAUACUAGAGGGCGGGAGAGGUCUGAGGUACUACAGGGGUAGGGGUGAAAUCUUAUAAUCCUUGUAGGACCACCAGUGGCGAAGGCGUCAGACUGGAACGCGCCUGACGGUGAGGGACGAAAGCCAGGGGAGCGAACCGGAUUAGAUACCCGGGUAGUCCUGGCCGUAAACGAUGCAUACUAGGUGAUGGCACGGCCAUGAGCCGUGUCAGUGCCGUAGGGAAACCGUUAAGUGUGCCGCCUGGGAAGUACGGUCGCAAGGCUAAAACUUAAAGGAAUUGGCGGGGGAGCACCACAAGGGGUGAAGCCUGCGGUUCA
rnacentral:rRNA from 1 species